rnacentral:rRNA from 1 species
UGCAUAUCCCAAAAAGCGGAGGAAAAGAAACUAACAAGGAUUCCCCUAGUAACUGCGAGUGAAGCGGGAAAAGCUCAAAUUUAAAAUCUGGUGGUCUUUGGCCAUCCGAGUUGUAAUCUAGAGAAGUGUUAUCCGCGCUGGACCGUGUACAAGUCCCCUGGAAUGGGGCGUCAUAGAGGGUGAGAAUCCCGUCUUUGACACGGACUACCAGGGCUUUGUGAUGCACUCUCAAAGAGUCGAGUUGUUUGGGAAUGCAGCUCAAAAUGGGUGGUAAAUUCCAUCUAAAGCUAAAUAUUGGCGAGAGACCGAUAGCGAACAAGUACCGUGAGGGAAAGAUGAAAAGAACUUUGGAAAGAGAGUUAAACAGUACGUGAAAUUGUUGAAAGGAAACGCUUGAAGUCAGUCGCGUCUGCCAGGGAUCAACCUUACUUUUGUGAGGCGUACUUCCUGGUUGAUGGGUCAGCAUCAGUUUUGGUCGCUGGAUAAAGGUCAGAGAAAUGUGGCACCUUCGGGUGUGUUAUAGUCUUUGAUCAGAUACAGUGGCUGGGACUGAGGAACUCAGCGCCGCAAGGCUGUCUUAGGAUGCUGGCAAAAUGGCUUUAAUCGACCCGUCUUGAAACACGGCCAAAGGGAGUCA